ensembl:lncRNA
CAUGGCCAGGCUGGGAAUGUGCGCCGCGUCCCUCUGCCACGGGGCAGAGAUGCUGCUGGAGGAGGUUCUGCUCAUCUGCUGUGCUCCUGAGAUGGGCACCCUCUGCUCCGCCAAGGGGCCUGCUGCUGGCUCUGAGCGCUGUGUGCUGCUGGACAGCCGGCUGUGCUCGUGCUGUAGGGGUGCCAUGCGGUUUGGCAAGGGGCUGGAAUGGGACCCAGCACCAUCUGCAGCACAGAGAGGGUGUGAGAACCCCAGAGCCCCAGAGCUGGCCUUGGGCAAACAGGGAAACCCAACCCACAGCGAGCCCUGCGCAUGGACAGUGCUGUGCCUGGCCAUGGCCACAAGCCCAGGUCUGCGGGAGUGGGGACCCAGGUGCAAUGCUGUGCCAUGUCUGCAUCUGCAGCACCACAAACAGCCCAUACACACAUCUGGGCUUUCCUUGGCACAACAUGGAUUUUGUGGGCUGUGUCAGCUUCUGAAUGGAGGGAUACAAUCGUCGCUCAGGUCGGGAACCAGGCAGGAGGAAUUGUUCAGCAUGGUUUGGGGCCGACACUCAGCCUGGGGAAGUGCUGCAUGCAGAACGUGAUCCAUCACAGCUCCUGCUGAAUCCCAUCGGGGGGAAAUGUGGAGCACUCUGUCCAAGCUGGUGGGGUUGUGAUACACUGGGAAGGAGCAGACUCGUGUCUUCCAGGAGCUGGAAGUCUUCCUCCAACAGAGGCAGCCCAGGAUGAAUGGGCGCUGGGAGGGGCGGCCUUUGGGCACAGGGGAGGUAGGGGCAGUGCCAAGGCUGUGUGAGCAGCCCCAUUUGCACAGGGAAGGAGCAUCCCUGGGUGUACGUUUUCCUGGGAAGGGCACCAGGCGCAGGCAGCGGGGAGCAUUCAGCAGGGGAUGGCCACACAGCACAGGGUCACAUCUCCUGAGUUCUUCACCCUCUGCUCUCGUCUUUCUCCCCUCCAUCUCCCUGUGCUCUGCAACUUCCUGGCCAUCCUCCCCCACCAUUUCCCAUUACUUCCUCUCCCUCCCCUUCCUGCCCCUUCCCAGCCCUCCACAACCUCCUGUUUCAGGUAUGUUCAGCGUUCUGCCAAGCAGGUU